UACGUAGGGUGCGAGCGUUGUCCGGAAUUAUUGGGCGUAAAGGGCUCGUAGGCGGUCUGUCACGUCGGGAGUGAAAACUCGGGGCUUAACCCCGAGCCUGCUUCCGAUACGGGCAGACUAGAGGUAUGCAGGGGAGAACGGAAUUCCUGGUGUAGCGGUGGAAUGCGCAGAUAUCAGGAGGAACACCGAUGGCGAAGGCAGGUCACUGGGCCGCAACUGACGCUGAGGAGCGAAAGCAUGGGGAGCGAACAGG
rnacentral:rRNA from 1 species